GUAGAAUGCACUCAACAUACAACAGGUGGGCUGAGUGCUUCAUUUUAAGCUAAGUAGAUCUCCAAGAGCACAGAGAGCUCGUCCCCUGGGUCCCACAGCACCUUCAGGCAAAUGCCGUCCGAAGCUGAUGCUGGUGACAGUCACUUGAAUCUUUAAAGUGGACUGAAUGAAGCUCUUUCUCCCUCAGUCAAUCGUGGAAGGGGUGUGGCCUCGUCUUGGCGCAGCCACAAGAAAAAUUGUCUUGUUGUGGCUGAGGAAUGUAGAGCAAUGGCAGCACUCAUGAGUGAG
ensembl:lincRNA Gm29283 predicted gene 29283